rnacentral:rRNA from 1 species
UGAGGAAUAUUGGUCAAUGGGCGGGAGCCUGAACCAGCCAAGCCGCGUGAGGGAAGAAGGCCCUAUGGGUCGUAAACCUCUUUUAUCAGGGAACAAAAGCGAGUAUGUAUACUAGUCUGAGUGUACCUGAAGAAAAAGCAUCGGCUAACUCCGUGCCAGCAGCCGCGGUAAUACGGAGGAUGCGAGCGUUAUCCGGAUUUAUUGGGUUUAAAGGGUGCGUAGGCGGCGAUGCAAGUCAGCGGUAAAAGCCCGGGGCUCAACCCCGGCGAGCCGUUGAAACUGCAGUGCUAGAGAAGGCGAGAGGUACGCGGAAUGCGCAGUGUAGCGGUGAAAUGCUUAGAUAUUGCGCAGAACUCCGAUUGCGAAGGCAGCGUACUGGCGCCUGACUGACGCUGAGGCACGAAAGCGUGGGGAUCGAACAGGAUUAGAUACCC